GCGGUGAGUUUGAUAGUUUUCUACUGUUAUGUCAUGGAUUUUGCAGCAUGCUCCCUUUCAACUAUCCUCGGAUGCUUAUGCAUGAUCUCUUGGAGCUUCUAACUUCUAACUUCAAAUAACGUAGCCAAAACCACGAGGCAAUCGCUUCACUGAGUUCUGCACUGCAACCUUCACAUAAUGCAGUUAUCUGUUGCGGCUCGAUGCAGUUUUUCCUUCGAAAGCCUUGAAGAACUUAUUGAGCUGAAGCUUUUAUGUUUGUUUUUUCAUAGAAGCAUUCUUUUGUCGGACUAUCAAUCAAGGUUAUUGGUUUGGCAGGUCAUAUCAGUACGUAGUCAGCAUGAAAGUUUGGCCACAUAACAUUUCAAACUACUUUUUAAAGAACGUUUCUUGGCUUUUAGACCAUCCAUAGGCAAAAUCUGUUCAAAUUAUAGAUUAGAUUUGGUGAUGUAAAAUAUAUCUUACAUUUAUUUCUUGUAUCGAAGUAAUGUCAGUCCGGACCAAAAAGAGGCUCAUGGCAGUUUAUAUUCAUGAUUUUGGCUAAAUCCAUAUUGAUAUCAUAC